rfam:Glycine soja cultivar W05 scaffold708_79, whole genome shotgun sequence.
UGCCAAUGAUGUACUCAAAUGCACGUAUUAUCAGACUUGGUCAUGAUGAUAUCCUAAUUGUCACUACCUCUGAGGCC